UACAGAGGUCUCAAGCGUUGUUCGGAUUCAUUGGGCGUAAAGGGUGCGUAGGCGGCGCGGUAAGUCGGGUGUGAAAUCUCGGAGCUUAACUCCGAAACUGCAUUCGAUACUGCCGUGCUUGAGGACUGGAGAGGAGACUGGAAUUUACGGUGUAGCGGUGAAAUGCGUAGAUAAUCGUAAGGAAGACCAGUGGCGAAGGCGGGUCUCUGGACAGUUCCUGACGCUGAGGCACGAAGGUCAGGGGAGCAAACGGGG
rnacentral:rRNA from 1 species